rnacentral:rRNA from 3 species
UACGAAGGGGGCUAGCGUUGCUCGGAAUGACUGGGCGUAAAGGGCGUGUAGGCGGUUUACACAGUCAGAUGUGAAAUCCCCGGGCUUAACCUGGGAGCUGCAUUUGAUACGUGUAGACUAGAGUGUGAGAGAGGGUUGUGGAAUUCCCAGUGUAGAGGUGAAAUUCGUAGAUAUUGGGAAGAACACCGGUGGCGAAGGCGGCAACCUGGCUCAUUACUGACGCUGAGGCGCGAAAGCGUGGGGAGCAAACAGG